rnacentral:rRNA from 1 species
CCUACGGGAGGCAGCAGUGGGGAAUAUUGCACAAUGCGGGAAACCCUGAUGCAGCGACGCCGCGUGAGUGAAGAAGUAAUUCGUUAUGUAAAGCUCUAUCAACAGGGAAGAAAAUGACGGUACCUGAGUAAGAAGCCCCGGCUAACUACGUGCCAGCAGCCGCGGUAAUACGUAGGGGGCAAGCGUUAUCCGGAUUUACUGGGUGUAAAGGGAACGUAGACGGCAGUGCAAGUCUGGAGUGAAAGGCGUGGGCUCAACCCCAGGACUGCUAUGGAAACUGUACGGCUGGAGUGCAGGAGAGGUAAGUGGAAUUCCUGGUGUAGCGGUGAAAUGCGUAGAUAUUAGGAGGAACACCAGUGGCGAAGGCGGCUUACUGGACUGUAACUGACGUUGAGGCUCGAAAGCGUGGGGAGCAAACAGGAUUAGAUACCCCUGUAGUC